UACGUAGGGAGCGAGCGUUAUCCGGAUUUAUUGGGUGUAAAGGGUGCGUAGGCGGUUAAUUAGGUCUAAGGUUUAAGUCCGAAGCUUAACUUCGGUUCGCCUUAGAAACCGAUUUACUUGAGUAUGGUAGAGGCAAGUGGAAUUUCUAGUGUAGCGGUAAAAUGCGUAGAUAUUAGAAGGAACACCAGUGGCGAAGGCGGCUUGCUGGGCCAUCACUGACGCUGAAGCACGAAAGCGUGGGGAGCAAAUAGG
rnacentral:rRNA from 1 species